CUGCAGUUGGAGGCUCCUAGCUCAAGGUAACUUGUCUCACCCAAGAGGUGGGAAGACUUGUGAACAAAGUGGUGAACAGGUGCGUAAGGCGUGGGAAUCUGCCGAACAGUUCGGGCUAAAUCCCAAAGAAAGCUAGAAAGCGCUGUUUGAUGAGCCUGCGUAGUAUUAGGUAGUUGGUUAGGUAAAGGCUGAUCAAGCCGAUGAUGCUUAUCUGGUCUUUUCGGACGACCAGCCACACCGGGACUGAGACACGGCCCGGACUCCCAUGAGGGCAGCAGUGGGGAAUUUUGGACAAUGGGCUCAAGCCUGAUCCAGCAAUUUUGCAUGAGUGAAGAAGGGCAAUUUCACUCGUAAAUCUCUUUCGUCGAGUGCGCGAUCAUGACAUGACUCGAGGAAGAAGCCCCGGAUAACUCCCUGCCAGCAGCCGCGGUAAAAUGGGGGGGGCAAGUGUUCUUCGGAAUGACUAGGCGUAAAGGACACGUAGACGGUUCAUCGGGUUGAAAGUGAAAGUCGUCAAAAAGUGGCGGAAUGCUUUCGAAACCACUGAACUUGAGUGAGACAGAGGAGAGUGGAAUUUCGUGUGGAGGGGUGAAAUCUACGGAUCUACGAAGGAAUGCCAAAAGUGAAGGCAGCUCUCUGGGUCUCUACCGACGCUGGUGUGCGAAAGCUUGGGGAGCGAACGGGAUUAGAUACCCUGGUAGUCCGUGCCGUAAACGAUGAGUGUUCGCCCUUGGUCUAUUCUGAUCUGGGGCUCAGCUAACGCGUUAACACUCCGCCUGGAGAGUACGGUUGCAAGACCAAAACUCAAAGGAAUUGACGGGGGCCUGCACAAGCGGUGGAGCAUGUGGUUUAAUUCGAUACAAUGCUCAGAACCUUACCAGCCCUUGACAUAUGAACGAGAAAUCCUAUCCUUAACGGGAUGGUACUGACUUUCAUACAGGUGCUGCAUGGCUGUCGUCAGCUCGUGUCGUGAGAUGUUUGGUUAAGUUCUAUAACGAGCGAAACCCUCGCCUUGUGUUGCUCAGACAUGCGCCUAAGGAGAAAGGUUGUGCAAACCGAAGUAAGCCAAGUAGCCGAGUGAUGUGCCAGACCUAGGAAUUGAGUGACAACAACUAGCUCUGCUCUCAGUAACAAGGGGUUCCUCCUUUAGGGGAGAAGCUGGGUUCCUCCGGCGCCUUUCCAAGCCCUAACUAGUCGGCGGAGAAAGACUCGGCAUUCAGGUGAGCCGAACGGUGGUGUAGGACGAAGGAAGUGGGUUUAGUACGCCUUGACAAAACCGCGACGAAACAAACAAAAAGGUGCGUGAUGCACUCACGAGGGACUGCCAGUGAUAUACUGGAGUAAGGUGGGGAUUACGUCUAGUCCGCAUGGCCCUUAUGGGCUGGGCCACACACGUGCUACAAUGGCAAUUACAAUGGGAAGCAAGGCUGUAAGGCGGAGCGAAUCCGGAAAGAUUUCCUCAGUUCGGAUUGUUCUCUGCAACUCGGGAACAUGAAGUUGUAAUCGCUAGUAAUCGCGGAUCAGCAUGCCGCGGUGAAUAUGUACCCGGGCCCUGUACACACCACCCAUCACACCCUGGGAAUUGGUUUCCCCCGAAGCAUCGGAACAAUGAUCACCCAGCGAACGAAGAGAAGGAAUACUUAUUAGUAAUGACAUGAAUGACAGCAAGCAAACAACCG
rnacentral:rRNA from 1 species